GGAAACAGGUGCUAAUACCGUAUAACACUAUUUUCCGCAUGGAAGAAAGUUGAAAGGCGCUUUUGCGUCACUGAUGGAUGGACCCGCGGUGCAUUAGCUAGUUGGUGAGGUAACGGCUCACCAAGGCCACGAUGCAUAGCCGACCUGAGAGGGUGAUCGGCCACACUGGGACUGAGACACGGCCCAGACUCCUACGGGAGGCAGCAGUAGGGAAUCUUCGGCAAUGGACGAAAGUCUGACCGAGCAACGCCGCGUGAGUGAAGAAGGUUUUCGGAUCGUAAAACUCUGUUGUUAGAGAAGAACAAGGAUGAGAGUAGAGCGUUCAUCCCUUGACGGUAUCUAACCAGAAAGCCACGGCUAACUACGUGCCAGCAGCCGCGGUAAUACGUAGGUGGCAAGCGUUGUCCGGAUUUAUUGGGCGUAAAGCGAGCGCAGGCGGUUUCUUAAGUCUGAUGUGAAAGCCCCCGGCUCAACCGGGGAGGGUCAUUGGAAACUGGGAGACUUGAGUGCAGAAGAGGAGAGUGGAAUUCCAUGUGUAGCGGUGAAAUGCGUAGAUAUAUGGAGGAACACCAGUGGCGAAGGCGGCUCUCUGGUCUGUAACUGACGCUGAGGCUCGAAAGCGUGGGGAGCGAACAGGAUUAGAUACCCUGGUAGUCCACGCCGUAAACGAU
rnacentral:rRNA from 1 species